GAGACCUGCGCGCACAAUUGCUAACGGGUAUAGUAAUAUAUGACCGAGCACAUUGUGCGGACUGCUCCAGAAAUGGAGAGGAAGGUGCAGGCAACGGUAGGUCUGUAUGCUCCGAAUCUUCUGGGCUACACGCGCGCAACAAUGGUAGGUACAAUGGGAUGCAACACCGAAAGGUGAAGCUAAUCCUCGAAAACCUAUCCUAGUCCAGAUCGUGGGUUGUAACUCACCCACGUGACGUUGGAAUCCCUAGUAAUCAGGUUUUAUCAUAACCCGGUGAAUAU
rnacentral:rRNA from 1 species